rnacentral:rRNA from 1 species
GGGCCCGCACAAGCGGUGGAGCAUGUGGUUUAAUUCGAUGAUACGCGAGGAACCUUACCAGGGCUUAAAUGCAGCAUGACAGGUCUGGAAACAGACUUUUCUUCGGACAUGUUGCAAGGUGCUGCAUGGUUGUCGUCAGCUCGUGCCGUGAGGUGUCAGGUUAAGUCCUAUAACGAGCGCAACCCCUAUCGUCAGUUGCCAGCGGGUCAUGCCGGGGACUCUGGCGAGACUGCCGGUGCAAACCGUGAGGAAGGUGGGGAUGACGUCAAAUCAUCACGGCCCUUACGUCCUGGGCCACACACGUGCUACAAUGGUGGGGACAGAGAGCAGCCACUUCGCGAGGAGGAGCGAAUCUUCAAACCCCAUCACAGUUCGGAUUACAGUCUGCAACUCGACUGUAUGAAGGUGGAAUCGCUAGUAAUCG